AUUGAACGCUGGCGGCAGGCCUAACACAUGCAAGUCGAGCGGAUGAAGGGAGCUUGCUCCUGGAUUCAGCGGCGGACGGGUGAGUAAUGCCUAGGAAUCUGCCUGGUAGUGGGGGAUAACGUCCGGAAACGGGCGCUAAUACCGCAUACGUCCUGAGGGAGAAAGUGGGGGAUCUUCGGACCUCACGCUAUCAGAUGAGCCUAGGUCGGAUUAGCUAGUUGGUGGGGUAAAGGCCUACCAAGGCGACGAUCCGUAACUGGUCUGAGAGGAUGAUCAGUCACACUGGAACUGAGACACGGUCCAGACUCCUACGGGAGCCAGCAGUGGGGAAUAUUGAACAAUGGGCGAAAGCCUGAUCCAGCCAUGCCGCGUGUGUAAAGAAGGUCUUCGGAUUGUAAAGCACUUUAAGUUGGGAGGAAGGGCAUUAAGUUAAUACCUUGCUGUUUUGACGUUCCCAAAAGAAUAAGCACCGGCUAACUUCGUG
rnacentral:rRNA from 1 species